AUAUAGUCUUGGUGCUCUGUGUACACCUGGCUCACCUGCCUGUCCUCUGUCGUAGGUCCUGCCCUGUUUAAGUCCCCUGUGCCCUGCUGGGGGACACUAG
ensembl:misc_RNA